rnacentral:rRNA from 1 species
GACGAACGCUGGCGGCGUGCCUAACACAUGCAAGUCGAGCGAAUGAAGUUCUUUCGGGAAUGGAUUUAGCGGCGGACGGGUGAGUAACACGUGGGCAGCCUGCCUCAUAGAGGGGAAUAGCCUUCCGAAAGGGAGAUUAAUACCGCAUAAGAUUGUAGUACCGCAUGAUACAGCAAUUAAAGGAGCAAUCCGCUAUGAGAUGGGCCCGCGGCGCAUUAGCUAGUUGGUGAGGUAACGGCUCACCAAGGCGACGAUGCGUAGCCGACCUGAGAGGGUGAUCGGCCACAUUGGGACUGAGACACGGCCCAGACUCCUACGGGAGGCAGCAGUGGGGAAUAUUGCACAAUGGGGGAAACCCUGAUGCAGCGACGCCGCGUGAGUGAUGACGGCCUUCGGGUUGUAAAGCUCUGUCUUCAGGGACGAUAAUGACGGUACCUGAGGAGGAAGCCACGGCUAACUACGUGCCAGCAGCCGCCGUAA